rnacentral:rRNA from 2 species
UGGGCAACCUGCCUGUAAGACUGGGAUAACUCCGGGAAACCGGGGCUAAUACCGGAUAAUUCUUUCCCUCACAUGAGGGAAAGCUGAAAGAUGGUUUCGGCUAUCACUUACAGAUGGGCCCGCGGCGCAUUAGCUAGUUGGUGAGGUAACGGCUCACCAAGGCAACGAUGCGUAGCCGACCUGAGAGGGUGAUCGGCCACACUGGGACUGAGACACGGCCCAGACUCCUACGGGAGGCAGCAGUAGGGAAUCUUCCGCAAUGGACGAAAGUCUGACGGAGCAACGCCGCGUGAGUGAUGAAGGUUUUCGGAUCGUAAAACUCUGUUGUUAGGGAAGAACAAGUACCGGAGUAACUGCCGGUACCUUGACGGUACCUAACCAGAAAGCCACGGCUAACUACGUGCCAGCAGCCGCGGUAAUACGUAGGUGGCAAGCGUUGUCCGGAAUUAUUGGGCGUAAAGCGCGCGCAGGCGGUUCCUUAAGUCUGAUGUGAAAGCCCCCGGCUCAACCGGGGAGGGUCAUUGGAAACUGGGGAACUUGAGUGCAGAAGAGAAGAGUGGAAUUCCACGUGUAGCGGUGAAAUGCGUAGAGAUGUGGAGG